UGGCUGAGACCUGCUAGGGCGGGAUAAAGCGGGGAAUCUGAGUCGACUCAUACAAUUUAGAUGCCAGGGAUGGAGGGCAGGUAUUGUGGAUACUGCGAGUAAGUUCAAUGGUGCCUGACACCUGAUUUAUGGGUCCUAGUAAUAUUGCUGCGUCCUGAUCCAUCCUCCCACCAGUUCACUGACCGUGUGCGAUAGGGUGAAAUAAUAGUCCCUCGGGGUGGACACGUGACGGUCUAUCACUAAGGUGAGGUAGGCUAUGCCCCUCACUCUGAUCUGCUUCGGAGUCUGAGAGAGGGGUGGCCAUGUCGGUGCCGACAGAGAGGGGUUACCAGGGAGAUGUGAGUCUGGCUGUGCCCAAACCCUUAUUAAGUGCAGCUCAUUCACACACCACGUACCACGUACCAGGGGUGUCAUUUUAAAUUGGCCCGCAUCAAAUUUCGAAAAAUUGAUUGCAGUGCAGCUCCCUGGAGAGGAGAGAGACUGCUGCUGCUGCUGUGCCGGCACGCCCCGCCCCCCGCUUCGAUUGGCUGGCCUGUGUGGAGACUGGGUGUGGACGUCACUAGAGCUGCCCAGACACGCCCCCUCCCCUCGGCUUCACUCUGGCUGGAGUCAGACUGUGCCUGCCCUCUGUGGAGACUGGGACUGGGGAGACAGCGUGUGGACGUCUCAGGAGACUCUGAGAGAGAGACUGCCUGCUGCAGUGUGCUGCCACCCACCACGACUACGAGGUAAACGUCAGUGAGAGUCAGUCUGUGCAGGAGACUUCUUCUGCGCUCACACAGCACACUCCUCCACAAGUUCUGUCUUCUCUCUCUGGCUGUCAGAGUGAGCUACAGAGGGGUGGAGGAGAAAGGGGGGAAGGUUGCCAGUCCCAGGCAAGUAGCCUGUACACACACACACACUGCUGGGAGCGGUAAGGCAUCUACCAUCUGCUUUGCGUUAGGGGCAUCGGCAUAUGAGCAUUAUGGUUAGGGACAGUGUUAUGUACUCGUUCUGGUGCACAUGCAGGAAGCUUAUCAGGGCUGAUUUGUGUGGUAAAUAAUUAUUAUCCCCUCAAGUAUAAGCUGAAACUAUAUUACAUUAGCCCUGUCCAUUUUGGGGCCUCCCAUUCUUUUGUGCCCCCAGAUAAUGGAACAAUUAGAAUGGUCGGCCCCCACACAUUUUCACCUCACCAAAUGUGGCCCUCGUUGCAAAAAGAUUGGACACCCCUUCUGUACGGACAGUCAUCUCUUUAUUACUUAUUAAUGCAGCCCAGUGACAAGCUCCUCCUCCUCCGGCUGCGGGCCAAUGAGAUGCAAGGUAAAAGGGCGGGACGCAAGUCUCUAGUGCUGCUGAAAGAAAUACAAGCGCUCGUCUCUUGGUGUAGAGAUGUAGUACAGAUGGAGGGGUAAGAUCCAAUGGAAUAGGGCAGAUAACAUUGGGGAGGUGGGAAUUUUGGCGGGAGGCAGGGAUCAGCUGACAGCCAAAGCCUGUGCCAUGCGAUCUCCUUAACACGCAGAAUGCGACUUCUACUGGUAAGUUCCUCCCCCUUCCCAUAACUCUCUAUUCACUCCUCCAUCCUGGCAGCAUAUCUCUCCCUUGUGUCACGUUACUCAGCCUUCACUCCUCAGCUUUCAUACUUCAACCAUCUCCACCCUCAGCCUUGACCCCUCAUUCGUCAGCCGGGUUCCUAGGGAAGAUGAGGAAUGAGGAGGCUGAGGGAGGAGGACAUAGUUAUUAUUGUAGGGGUUAAACAUGAGGGACGAGGGCUGAGAGAGGAUAGAGGAAAGCUGAGUAAUGUGACAGGAGGGGGUAGUGAAUUGAGCCUUAUUUGGAGGCUGAGAAACAUACUAAGUGACUUUGGCUGUGGAUGUCCUAAAAUUGUUUCCAUACAGGAAGCGUGUAUCCCUUAGGUUUUUCCUCAAGAAGAUCUAAAAUGGACUGUAUUGACGGGCAAGUUGUACGGUGUCCAUUUUAGGACAGCCUUCGUCAUUACUAAGAUGCUGCAAACAGCUUUAAUCCGACAGCUCUUCUUGACACAUGCAUGUUAUGUAGCGCUGCUCCAAGCUGCCGAGAUCAAACCGGCAGCUGACUGGUUGUUGUUGUUGCCAUAGUGAUUGUGUAUAGGCGGAUCCACACUGUUCUACUUUGAGGAGAGUUGAGAGGAAGAAGUUGGCAGCAUUUGCAAUGUCCCAGCAAGUGUCUAUCAUGAAUAGGAACAACCUAGAGAAACAGGCAGAAGCCCUGAGCCGACUCAUCCAGCAAUCAUUAUGACCACAACAGCAAAUUGUCCUAUACAGAUUUUGAAAAACUGUACAAGAAAAUCUUCUGCUGGAGGCAUCGGGACCUUGUCUUCUAGGUAGUAAAGUUAUAGAAACUGUAAGACUGGGAAAAAGGAAAGGAGACAUAGAUAAAUUGUUAUCUAAGAAAGAAAUCAAGUGGAUGUCACUAUUGGAGACUGUAGUACCAUAUGGUUUGAAUAAGGACUGUGAGAUCAGAUUUUUUAUUGAUUAAGGGAUGUAAUUCACAGCUAAUAAACCUACUGUCCGAUGAAAUAAAUUCCGUAAUAGCGCUAGGUAAAGAGGAAUUGGAGAUAUUAGAAUUUGAAUACAAAGUGAUAGAAUAAAUGUCCUCUGAAUAUAAUAACUAAUUAAUUAACUAAUUCAGCACUCUAUCCAUUGAAAUUACAUCAAUUAUAUUUAUACUUAUAUUACAUCAUUAUUAUUCUAACGUGUUAAGAAAUAACAACAUAAAAAAUACAUGAUGGGCAUUUUUCAAUUUUAACCUUUUUUAUUCUAUUUAAUUAAUUGCAUUUAAGAUGUGGACAAAUAAUUUAAUUAAAUUGAAUAGAGAUCAAGAUAGACAUGAUGAUUAAUAUUAAAUUUAUUGUACGUAUAUAUAGUUUAGAACACGAACAAUUAUACAAAAUUUAGAAAAUUUAGAAAACUUAUUAAACUAUUUAUCUAUGUAUAAUAUAUAAUACAAACAAGCACUUGCACUUUAACAAUAUGCACGAUUAUAUGUUUCAUGUAUCUUGAUGUAUUUUUAUGAAUGUAUACAUUUUUAAUAACUAUUUACACAUACUGCACCUUUAAAUGUGAAUUGAUUUGCACUUGGACCCUAUUUAAACACUUAGACACGUGAUGUAAUUGUAACCCUGAGGAAGCGUCGUUCAAGUAGACACGAAACGCGUAGGUUUGAUAUAGCGCACCCACUGUGAAUGUAACUCUGCACUGUGUGAAACAAUAAAGCCGGAUUGAUAUUAAA